rnacentral:tRNA from 1 species
GCACCCUUAGCUCAACUGGAUAGAGCGGCGGUCUACGGAACCGCAGGUUAGAGGUUCGAGCCCUCUAGGGUGCA